CAUGUGUAUGUGUGUGUUCAUGUUUUUAUAUUUGUGCAGAUAUUUAACUGCAUUAGUGAAUGUUCUGGGGCUAAUACAUCAGCUAAGCUUAGGGAAAGACAAGCACAUUAGUUGCAUCCAACGUGUGAGAUUGGAGAGGACUCAACAAAGGGUUUGUAGAAUGUUCUGGGGCUGAUACAUCAGCUAAGCUUAGGGCAAGACAAGCACAUUAGUUGGAUCCAACGUGUGAGAUUGUAGAGGAAUUAACAAAGG